rnacentral:lncRNA from 1 species
CCCGAUCCUGCUCCCAUGACAAGUGUCCUGAACUCGGCCCGAUGUAGAGAGUCUGAAUGGGGCAUCAAGGGUCAAGGGCAUCUGGGGGCAGGCACUUCAGUGAUUUACCUUAUUGUAUGUGCAGUGCUUUGGCUGCGCAUGUUGUAUGUGCUGCGUUCAUGAAGUGCCCAUUGAGGCCAGAAGCAAGUCGGCAGUUACAGGCAGUUGUGACCCUCCAUGAUGGUUCUGAGAAUGGAACCUGAGUCCUCUGGAAGAGCAGAAAGUGCUUUGAGCUGUUGUGGUGGCUUGAAUAUGCUUGGCCCAGGAAAGGAGAUG